ensembl:snRNA U4 U4 spliceosomal RNA
AGCUUUGCACAGUGACCAUAUCAUAGCCAAUUAGGUUUAUCUGAGGUGUGAUUAUUGCUAAUUGACAACUUUUCCCACCUCUCCACAACCCCCUGAAAUAUAGUCAGUACUGGCAAAGAAAAAUGUUUU